GAUGAACGCUAGCGGCAGGCCUAAUACAUGCAAGUCGAACGGGAUUAAGAGGCUUGCUUCUUAUGAGAGUGGCGCACGGGUGCGUAACACGUAUGCAACCUACCUUCAACUGGGGGAUAGCCUUCCGAAAGGGAGAUUAAUACCGCAUAAUAUAAUUGAGUGGCAUCCCUUGAUUAUCAAACGUAAGGGUUGAAGAUGGGCAUGCGUCCGAUUAGUUGGUUGGUGAGGUAACGGCUAACCAAGACUACGAUCGGUAGGGGGGCUGAGAGCAUGGCCCCCCACACUGGUACUGGGACACGGACCAGACUCCUACGGGAGGCAGCAGUAAGGAAUAUUGGUCAAUGGACGGAAGUCUGAACCAGCCAUGCCGCGUGCAGGAAGACGGUCCUCUGGAUUGUAAACUGCUUUUGUUAGGGAAGAAACUUCCGUACGUGUACGGGACUGACGGUACCUAAAGAAUAAGGAUCGGCUAACUCUGUGCCAGCCGCCGCGGUAAGAC
rnacentral:rRNA from 1 species